ACAUAAGCUCAUUUGAAAAUCACAUAUUAGUAGCAGCAAAGUUUAGUGCAAUAGUUGUCUGUCAACGUUCAGUGCCAGCAGCAAAAUUCAGUUAUGCACAAGCACCAUUUAGCAGCAGCAUAGGUAUAUAGCAUUCAUUUAGCGGCAGAAAAAUCCAGUUCAUUUUACUCGCUGCUCUCUUUGGCAUUUACAGUCUUGGACUCUCUGGCUGCUCCUCCUCUGGCCAAUGGUGAAGCGCCCGACGAGGCCAGCAGCAAGGCAAUGCGGCGGGAUCAUGCUCCCGUGAUCGUCUGAGGCGCCUGCUCUGCUGCUCAAGGGCGUCCGUGGAAUGCCCAGUCCUGACUAUUGAAGGAGCUACAUGUAGAAGAAGAAAACACUUGUAGACCAGUGAUUCCCAUACUUGUAGAGCUUGUAUCAACUAAGCUUGUAUUACGUCUAACUUGUAGAACUUGUAAAGUACUAUAUAUGUAACAACUUGUAGUACUUGUCAUUUGUAGAACUUGUACUGAAUCUGGCUAUUGUUAUUUGAAGUAUCAUGUGUGUUUUUUGCUUGCCAAUUUAACUAUUGGUUAUUUUCUUACUGAUAAAUCGAAAUGUGAAGAAUCGAGGCCUAAUAGCUGGGACCCACUUAUCAGAACCUGACAAGUGGGACCUGUUUGACUAGUGGACCCAUUUUAUAAAAAAGAAAA